rnacentral:rRNA from 1 species
GUCCGCCUGCCCUGUGACUUUAUGUUUAACGGCCGCGGUAUUUUAACCGUGCGAAGGUAGCGCAAUCACUUGUCUUUUAAAUGGAGACCUGUAUGAAUGGCAUAACGAGGGCUUAACUGUCUCCUUUUUCAAGUCAAUGAAAUUGAUCCCCCCGUGCAGAAGCGGGGAUAGGACCAUAAGACGAGAAGACCCUGUGGAGCUUAAGACACUAAAGCAGCCCAUGUUAAAACACCCCUAGAAGGACUAAAACCUAAUGAACCCUGCCCUGAUGUCUUUGGUUGGGGCGACCACGGGGAGACAUAGAACCCCCGCGCGGGAGGAAAACCCUUUCUUCCUUACAACCAAGAGCCCCCGCUCUAAUAAACAGAAUUUCUGACCUAUAUAGAUCCGGCAAUAGCCGAUCAACGGACCGAGUUACCCCAGGGAUAACAGCGCAAUCCCCUUCUAGAGCCCAUAUCGACAAGGGGGCUUACGACCUCGAUGUUGGAUCAGGACAUCCUAAUGGUGCAGCCGCUAUUAAGGGUUCGUUUGUUCAACGAUUAAAGUCCUACGUGAUCUG